GACGAACGCUGGCGGCGUGCCUAAUACAUGCAAGUUGAGCGCUGAAGGUUGGUUCUUGUACUAACUGGAUGAGCAGCGAACGGGUGAGUAACGCGUGGGCAACCUGCCUUUUAGCGGGGGCCAACAUUUGGAAACGCAUGUUAAUACCGCAUAAAAACUUUAAACACAGGUUUUAGGUUUGAAAGAUGCAAUUGCAUCACUCAAAGAUGAUCCCGCGUUGUAUUAGCUAGUUGGUGUGGUAAAGGCUCACCAAGGCGAUGAUACGUAGCCGAACGGAGAGGCGGAUCGGCAACAUUGGGACGGAGACACGGCCCAAACUCCUACGGGAGGGAGCAGACGGGAAUCUUCGGCAAUGGACGAAAGUCUUACCCAACGACGCGGAGUGAGAGGAGAAGGUUUUCGGAUCGGAAAACUCGGUUGGGAGAGAAGAACGUUGGUGAGAGUGGAAGGCGCAUCAAGUGACGGUAACUGGCCAGAAAGCGACGGCUAACUACGUG
rnacentral:rRNA from 1 species